CGGGCGACCGGCCGCACGGGUGAGUAACACGUAUGCGACCUGCCCGUAGCAGGGGGAUAAGCGGAAGAAAUUCCGUCUAAUACCGCGUAAUAUCUUUCGGGGGCAUCCCUGAGGGAUUAAAGGAAGUGAUUCCGGCUACGGAUGGGCAUGCGGCGCAUUAGCUAGUCGGCGGGGUAACGGCCCACCGAGGCGACGAUGCGUAGGGGUUCUGAGAGGAAGGUCCCCCACACUGGUACUGAGACACGGACCAGACUCCUACGGGAGGCAGCAG
rnacentral:rRNA from 1 species